rnacentral:lncRNA from 1 species
AUGAGAUUCAGGUUUCAAGAGUCAUAGAUUUCUGGCAACAUUACUUAUUAGCUAAACAGCUAAGUGACCUUGAGUAAGUUGUUUAAUCUCUCAGAGUCUCAGCUGCACUCAGUUCCAGUUCCAACAACUGCAAAUCGGGGAAACUAAUAUUAUCUCUCCCUUUUUUUUUUAGAACAACUCAGCAAAAUAAAAUUCCUGUUUAUUGUUGGACAACAUUGUUUCACACAUACAUCAAAUAGGCCGGAAAAAAAAAAAAACAGCAACUUCGUAGACAAAAAAGGAAAAAAAAAGAAACCUUUUAUCUUUGGCCUUUUUAACCAUCUCAUACAAACCAGCUACUUACAGUACAGCUAAGUACAUACACAAAACAGUUACUGGAAUGCUCGGAAUAAGAUUGUUUUUCUGUUGUCGUUUUUGCUUUUUUUUACAAGGUUUUUUUUCUCCUUUGAGAUUAUAAUGAACAUGGUCACACCACAAGUAAAGUCAGAAGCAGGGCAGAGAACGCUCCGAAGGCUGGUUUGGUCAUCCGAGAUCAUUAAAAAUGGCUGACCCUAACAACAUAUACACAAAUAUAAAAUGUAAAUAAAAAAUACAAACACAUUUCCUUUUUAAAGUACUUUUAAGAAAAAAAGCAGUGCCGUGGAAGUUUUGGUGCUUUUUUCCUCCCCUGCUGCGGACCCUCACGGUUUGGAUCGGGCGGUGGAGACGCGUGUCGCCUGCGGGGGGCGCUGCUCACGGCGGGCGCGCGGGCCUCUCUACCCGAAGGCGACCACGUUUAGAUUCUGAGACCGGAAGUGGAGGGUCAACAGGUCACGGCGGCCUUUCUUUGAGUUUAACUUUUCCUUUUUUGCUGUCUGGUGAUCCUCGUCGGUCUUCUGCUUCUUGGCAUCGACAUCGUCAUCCUCAUCGCCUUCAGCUGCCCGCUUGCCCGGAGCUGACUCAGCUUCCUCAUCUUCAUCUCCAUCCUCUUCCUCAUAGCAUUCCCGUUAGCAGGGGCGUCCCUUCCAUUUUCGGCCUCUUCCACAACUUUCUUCUUCUCCUUUACGUCCUUGGUGGUGGUUUCGGAGCCGGUGAUGCGAUGCAGGGGAUUAAAAAGAAAGCGAGAGUUCAGGGACUCUGGCGAUGA